GCCUGAGUGCUGGAAUCGGUAGACAGUGAAAACUUAAGCUUUUCUGAGGUAAACUCGUGGGUGUUCAAAUCACUCCUCAGGUA
rnacentral:tRNA from 1 species